rnacentral:rRNA from 1 species
GACGAACGCUGGCGGCGUGCUUAACACAUGCAAGUCGAACGAUGAAGCCGGAGCUUGCUCCGGUGGAUUAGUGGCGAACGGGUGAGUAACACGUGAGCAAUCUGCCCUUGACUCUGGGAUAACUGCGGGAAACUGUAGCUAAUACCGGAUACGACACCUUGGGGCAUCCCAGGGUGUGGAAAGAAUGUCGGUAAAGGAUGAGCUCGCGGCCUAUCAGCUAGUUGGUGAGGUAAUGGCUCACCAAGGCGACGACGGGUAGCCGGCCUGAGAGGGUGACCGGCCACACUGGAACUGAGACACGAUCCAGACUCCUACGGGAGGCAGCAGUGGGGAAUAUUGCACAAUGGGCGAAAGCCUGAUGCAGCAACGCCGCGUGAGGGAUGAAGGCCUUCGGGUUGUAAACCUCUUUUAGCAGGGAAGAAGCGAAAGUGACGGUACCUGCAGAAAAAGCACCGGCUAACUACGUGCCAGCAGCCGCAGUAA